UACCAGCACCCCGAGUGGUCGGACGUUUAUUGGGCCUAAAGCAUCCGUAGCCGGUUCUACAAGUCUUCCGUUAAAUCCAGCUGCUUAACAGAUGGGCUGCGGAAGAUACUAUGGAGCUAGGAGGCGGGAGAGGCAAGCGGUACUCGAUGGGUAGGGGUAAAAUCCGUUGAUCCAUUGAAGACCACCAGUGGCGAAGGCGGCUCACUGGCCCGAUACUAACGCUGAGGCACGAAAGCGUGGGGAGCAAACAGG
rnacentral:rRNA from 1 species